rnacentral:rRNA from 1 species
UACGGGGGGGAGCAAGCGUUGUUCGGAUUUACUGGGCGUAAAGGGCGCGUAGGCGGUCGUGACAAGUCACUUGUGAAAUCUCCGGGCUUAACUCGGAGCGGCCAAGUGAUACUGUCGUGCUAGAGUGCGGAAGGGGCUACUGGAAUUCUCGGUGUAGCGGUGAAAUGCGGUAGAUAUCGAGAGGAACACCUGCGGCGAAGGCGGGUAGCUGGGCCGACACUGACGCUGAGGCGCGAAAGCUAGGGGAGCGAACGGG